AUGGUUGAUGCUUUACCGCCUGAAGUUGUUGACCUGGAACAAGAGGGUAAGGUGGAUGUGAGAGCGGAAGCGCACGCCGUGGUGCAGGAUGUCGUGGUGUCCGAAGCACCUGAGGUGCCGGAACCAGAGGUGAAGAGCGAGGAGGUGGUGGUCCGGGACACAACCAAGGUGCAUCCUGCGCAUCAACCAGAGACGAAGGCCGAUGAGGUGCUGGUCAGGGAUACGGACACAGCUGUUGUGGUGCAGGAACCGGAAGCAAAGGGUGAGGUGUCAUGGUCUCGUGAGGCAGCUGGUGCGCAGACUACAGAGGCGGGCUACUUUUGUUGCUGGUGGUACGGGGGCAGGCAGUGGCGGUGGCUGCUGCUUAGAUGUCUUUGCUGGUUCAGAGAGAUAGAUGGAGGUGAGUUUGUUCUGUGCUUAUUAUGA
rnacentral:rRNA from 1 species